AAGAAACUAGUUAAUUAUUAUAACAUUCGCCUGUCACGCGAAAGUAAUCCUCCAAGGAUGUCUCUUA
rnacentral:tRNA from 1 species